UACGUAGGGUGCAAGCGUUAAUCGGAAUUACUGGGCGUAAAGCGUGCGCAGGCGGUGAUGUAAGACAGAUGUGAAAUCCCCGGGCUCAACCUGGGAACUGCAUUUGUGACUGCAUCGCUGGAGUGCGGCAGAGGGGGGAUGGAAUUCCGCGUGUAGCAGUGAAAUGCGUAGAUAUGCGGAGGAACACCGAUGGCGAAGGCAAUCCCCUGGGCCUGCACUGACGCUCAUGCACGAAAG
rnacentral:rRNA from 1 species